GACGGGGGGGGCAAGUGUUCUUCGGAAUGACUGGGCGUAAAGGGUGCGUAGGUGGCUUGUUAAGUCAGGGGUGAAAGUUUUCGGCCCAACCGGAAAAUGGCCUUUGAUACUGGCGAGCUCGAGUGCGUGAGGGGUAACCGGAACGAGCAGUGUAGCGGUGAAAUGCGUAGAUAUUGCUCGGAAGGCCAACGGCGAAGGCAGGUUACUGGUGCGCAACUGACACUGAGGCACGAAAGCGUGGGGAGCAAACAGG
rnacentral:rRNA from 1 species